rnacentral:lncRNA from 1 species
UUCCCCUUUCUCAAAAAAAAAAAAAAAAAAAAGAAAAAGAAAAAAAAAGAAAGGAAACAAGUCUCAAACUCAGUCUUCGCUCCCCCUCCAAAAACAAGGACGAAGGAAACAAUACUCCGAAGGCGGUGCCGCCGGGGCCCUCCGGGUGCGCGGACGGGGCGGGCGGCGCGGGGCGGCCCCUCAGCGCCGGCAGCAGCGGCCCAGGGCUCGGCGGAGUCGGCAACUCGAGGCGCGCCGGGGCGGGCUGUCGGCGUCGUCGGCCUCCAUUUUCAAACCCGGAGAGGCAGGAAGGGGGGAAAACUGCAAAGAAAGGGGGCAAAGCCCAAAUCUGCCUCGGCGAGGAAAAACAAGCCCGGCCCUGGCCGCGCGGGAGGUGGCCGGACGCCCGAGCCUCCGCCGCGGGAGGGCGCGACGCAGUUCGCAAGAUCGCCCCAAGUCCGGGUCGCAGGCGAGGCCGGCAAGGGGCAGAAACCCGGAGUCAAAUGAAUGAGCGGCUCCCCCUCCUCCUCCUCCUCCUCCUCCGGGCUCCGCUCGUCGCCGCCUCCUCCCUCAGCGCCGCCGCCGCCGCCGCCGCCACGCGGAAUAUUCCCAAAUCAGGACACACGCACAAAGCGGCGGGCCAGCCGCGCCAUAUCCAGCGCCCGCCGCGCCGCCCGGCUCCGCGCCGCCAUGCUUUGCGCUGCCCCCGCCGGCACGCCCGCCGCCGCCGGCUCUGCGCGGGAAACCAAAUCGCUAAGAAGAUCACAAUAGCCAAGGCAAAGGCGCGCCGAUAAACUGCUGCCAGGAGAGACGUCAGAACGCCAGGGGAAUCCAGGGAGCAGACCGAAAGUCACAGGCACGCCAGCCAUGGAAACGGAAAGCUCGCUGGUGAAAAUCCUCUCGCUCUCCCGCCUCUCUUGAGUUCGCCUGGUGCGCUCGCUCCUCCUCGGGUUUUUUCCCUUUUUUUUUCCGCUCAGCGGAGUUAAUGCUGGUAAACAAGAGCCCCAGCCUCGCCGCGCCGCCGCCGCCGCCGCCACACACUAGGGGCUCGCGCGCGCGCGCGCCCGGGUCCGCGCACACGCGCCCGCUCGCACACUCGAGCGGCCACCGCCGCAGCAGCGGCGCGCCGAGGGCCCGGCCCAGGCCGGCACGAGCCAAAAACCGGAGCCCAGGAUCCCCGAGACGUGCGGAGCGGAGCCCAGGCGUGGGGCGCGAGACUGCAAGGCACCACCCCCAUGUCCCGCCCCGCCGACUCCCGCGCGCGCACAGAGACACGCGCGCGUGCCCACCCGCUCCCGCCCCCACCAGUGCACCACUGCGCCGGCCACCCCGCACGCGCCCUUCCCUCCCGCCCGACUCCAAAAACAAUGCCCCCGCCGCCGACCCGGUCUCGGCGGGGCAGGGGAGGAGAGGUUCCCCAAAGCGAGACUUCCCUAGGACUGCCAUCUAA